GAGUUUGAUCCUGGCUCAGAUUGAACGCUGGCGGCAUGCCUUACACAUGCAAGUCGAACGGCAGCAUGAUCUAGCUUGCUAGAUUGAUGGCGAGUGGCGAACGGGUGAGUAAUACAUCGGAACGUGCCCUGUAGUGGGGGAUAACUAGUCGAAAGAUUAGCUAAUACCGCAUACGACCUGAGGGUGAAAGUGGGGGACCGCAAGGCCUCAUGCUAUAGGAGCGGCCGAUGUCUGAUUAGCUAGUUGGUGGGGUAAAGGCCCACCAAGGCGACGAUCAGUAGCUGGUCUGAGAGGACGAUCAGCCACACUGGGACUGAGACACGGCCCAGACUCCUACGGGAGGCAGCAGUGGGGAAUUUGGACAAUGGGCGAAAGCCUGAUCCAGCAAUGCCGCGUGUGUGAGAAGGCCU
rnacentral:rRNA from 1 species